rnacentral:rRNA from 1 species
GAUGAACGCUAGCGGCAGGCCUAACACAUGCAAGUCGAGGGGUAUAGUUCUUCGGAACUAGAGACCGGCGCACGGGUGCGUAACGCGUAUGCAAUCUACCUUUUACAGGGGAAUAGCCCAGAGAAAUUUGGAUUAAUGCCCCAUAGUGUUAUAGAAUCGCAUGGUUUUAUAACUAAAGUUCCAACGGUAAAAGAUGAGCAUGCGUCCCAUUAGUUAGUUGGUAAGGUAACGGCUUACCAAGACAAUGAUGGGUAGGGGUCCUGAGAGGGAGAUCCCCCACACUGGUACUGAGACACGGACCAGACUCCUACGGGAGGCAGCAGUGAGGAAUAUUGGACAAUGGGCGGCAAGACCUGAUCCAGCCAUGCCGCGUGCAGGAAGACGGUCCUAUGGAUUGUAAACUGCUUUUGUACAGGAAGAAACACUCCCUCGUGAGGGAGCUUGACGGUACUGUAAGAAUAAGGAUCGGCUAACUCCGUG